rnacentral:rRNA from 1 species
AUUGAACGCUGGCGGCAGGCUUAACACGUGCAAGUCGAGCGGGGUGAGGUGCUUCGGUACUGAUCCUAGCGGCGGACGGGUGAGUAAUGCUUAGGAAUCUGCCAUUUAGUGGGGGACAACAUUCCGAAAGGAAUGCUAAUACCACAUACGUCCUACGGGAGAAAGCAGGGGAUCUUCGGACCUUGCGCUAAAUGAUGAGCCUAAGUCGGAUUAGCUAGUUGGUGGGGUAAAGGCCUACCAAGGCGACGAUCUGAAGCGGGUCUGAGAGGAUGAUCCGCCACACUGGGACUGAGACACGGCCCAGACUCCUACGGGAGGCAGCAGUGGUGAAUAUUGGACAAUGGGCGGAAGCCUGAUCCAGCCAUGCCGCGUGUGUGAAGAAGGCCUUUUGGUUGUAAAGCACUUUAAGCGAGGAGGAGGCUACCUGGAUUAAUACUCUGGGAUAGUGGACGUUACUCGCAGAAUAAGCACCGGCUAACUCUGUGCCAGCAGCCGCCGUAAGAC